rnacentral:rRNA from 1 species
CCAAAAGAUCGAAUGGGGAGAUUCAUCGUCAGCGAUCCUGGCACGUGCGCGGUUCGUGAUCCCGUAAGACCUCGGUCUUAAGGUACACGUCCGUGUGGGUUUUUGCCUGGUAUCGUCGGCGUGCACUUCUCCCCUAGUAGGACGUCGCGACCCGUUGGGUGUCGGUCUACGGCCCGGGUGGGUGCCUGUCAUGUGUACGACGCUUCACGGCGUCAUGUGGCUGACAGACCCCCGGUCGCCCGACCAGCUGCCCGGCGGUAUUCGCACGGUAUCGAGCCGCAAAUUCGAACUGCGUCCGGCCCGCCGCAAGCGAGGCCAGUGUUUCCCGGAUGUACGGACCUAGCGCCGUCGCCGGGCCUGGCCGGCUGUUGGCCGGCGGUGUCCUGGGACUGGCCUUAAUGAUACCGGUCGGCGACGCUACUGCUUUGGGUACUUUCAGGACCCGUCUUGAAACACGG